AGAUUAAUAAAUUAACCAGACUUGUGCAACAUGUAUUUGAGCUGCUUUGAGUCACAUUUGAUUUGCUCAGUAUUUACCUGUGGAGUUUAACUCACUGACUCAGACUCCACAGGGAAAACCUCCCACAGAUAGAUUGCUUCAUUUGGAUGUGCAUUGAAAUAGGGUUGAUUCGGAUGAACCGGCUGAAACACAUUUUGCACACGUGUAAUGUUAUGUUCC